CAUGUGUAGACGUUCAAAAAAGGCUUCAUCAUUGUGUAAUAGGAAGGAGCCUGGAUCCAGCCUGGCCUACAGGCCAACAUGGCGAGGGGGAAGAAUGGCCGACAACAUUUCCUGCUCUGUGGCUGAGGUCCAGAUCCUUAGCCUGCUGGAAACUAUUAAACACACCCAAGACCAGCUGAUGGCAAAGGUCAACUUCUUAACCAGCAGGUUGACCAUUACCCCGGGGCCAGAAGUUGAAAUGCCGGCCAAUAUCCAGUUUCCACUGGAAC